UGGUGCAGAGGAUUUUCUACAUGGCGA
rnacentral:piRNA from 1 species